UACGUAGGGUGCAAGCGUUAAUCGGAAUUACUGGGCGUAAAGCGUGCGCAGGCGGUUCGGCAAGAAAGAUGUGAAAUCCCAGGGCUUAACCUUGGAACUGCACUUUUAACUGCCGGUCUAGAGUAUGUCAGAGGGGGGUAGAAUUCCACGUGUAGCAGUGAAAUGCGUAGAGAUGUGGAGGAAUACCGAUGGCGAAGGCAGCCCCCUGGGAUAAUGCUGACGCUCAUGCACGAAAGCGUGGGGAGCAAACAGG
rnacentral:rRNA from 1 species